UCUGUAGGUGGUCAAAUAAGUCAACUGUUAAAUCUUGAGGCUCAACCUCAAAAUCGCAGUCGAAACUAUUAGACUAGAGUAUAGUAGGGGUAAAGGGAAUUUCCAGUGGAGCGGUGAAAUGCGUAGAGAUUGGAAGGAACACCGAUGGCGAAGGCACUUUACUGGGCUAUUACUAACACUCAGAGACGAAAGCUAGGGUAGCAAAUG
rnacentral:rRNA from 1 species